AGAUGUAAAAUUGGUUGAUGUUUUCGCCGCCACGAUUCGAAAUGAAACGAAGAAAUGAGAAGAAGCGAAGGUCCUCGGAGAGGUGAAUGAGGAUUUUACCACUAUGGACAUUUGAACAGUAUGCAGAAGAAGACGGAUCUGGAACUAGAAAGCAAGGCUCUGACUGGUCUACUACAGCAAGGAAUGUGCCAGCGGCCAAUCUGAUGAACAUGUGACAGAAGAUUUGGCGAUGGGUGAAGAAAUACUGAGAUUGAAAUGCAACCACAGGUGGAGGCUUCAACCAAACUUUUCAGACAGACAUGAGAUACAAAGAUACACAAGUAUAAAUGGUUGAAGGUUUAGGAGAGCCAGACAAGAAGGCAGGAAAUGUGAUGUCACUUUUACUUCAAUGAACAUGGACAGCAGCAGGAGCAACAACAGCAUCAGCAGCUGAAACUACAACUGCAGUUAGAGAUGCAACAACCACACCGACAACAUCAACAGCAGCAGUAGCUCCAACAACCAUGCAGGGAACAUCGGGCGCAACAUAAAUAACUUCAUCAAGAGAUGCAACAACCACAGUGGUAAACAUCAACAGCAGUAGCAACAACGACAGUAGAAACAAAGCCAACAGCAAGGAUUCUAACAAGCAAUCAUACAAGCAACAACACAAGCGACAACAUCAAUAGAUGCAUCAGGAGAUGCAACAGCCACACUCGUAAACAGCAGCAGUAGCAGCGAUGACAACAGCAACCACACAGGCAACACCUUGAGCAACAUCAGUAGCAAAAAUAACUAAUUGCACCAGGAGAUGCAACAACCACACCCACAACACCAAGAGCAGCAAAAACAAACAGCAAUUCCAGCAA